rnacentral:rRNA from 1 species
AUGCAAAUUGGGCGCAAUGUUCAUGCAUAUGUGGAUGACAUUGUGGUAAAGUCCAGAAAGGAGGAGACAUUGAUAGAUGAUUUGAGACAAACCUUUGACAAUCUCUGGGUUUACAAUAUGAUGCUCAAUCCGGAGAAGUGUGUCUUUGGUGUCCCGGCAGGCAAGCUCUUGGGUUUUCUGGUGUCAAACAGAGGCAUUGAGGCUAAUCCGGAAAAGAUUGCAGCAAUUACAUCCUUGGCUAAACCGGCGUGUAUCAACGGUGUUCAACGUCUGGCUGGCCGGAUUACAGCCUUGAGCCGGUUUAUUAGUCGCCUUGGAGAGAAGGCCAUCCCUUUAUAUCAGAUGCUCAAGAAAACAGAUAACUUUGUUUGGAGCGAGGCAGCUGAUAAAGCGUUCGAGGAUCUGAAGAGGCAGCUAGCUGAACCGCCCGUGCUUGCAGCGCCGAUCAAUAAAGUGCCGUUAUUACUAUAUGUGGCUGCUAAUGCCCAGGCUAUUAGCGUAGCCAUUGUGGUAGAGCGCAAGGAGCUUGGCAAGGAAUAUCCAGUUCAACGGCCGGUUUAUUAUAUCUGCGAGGUGCUCAUUGAGUCAAAGCAGAGGUAUCCGCAUUGGCAGAAGCUGGUGUAUGGAGUGUUUAUGGCAAGCCGGAAGCUUAAACAUUAUUUUCAGGGCCAUCCCAUCACAGUGGUCAAUUCAGCUCCUCUGGGCGAUAUCAUUCAAAACGGAGAAGCAACUGGCCGGAUUGCCAAGUGGGCUAUUGAGCUUGGACCUCAUGAGCUCAAAUAUAUACCCCGCAUAGCGAUCAAAUCCCAGGCACUCGUGGACUUCAUCAAUGAUUGUACAGAGUUACAUGCGACUGAAGAGAAACCAGAUAAUACAUAUUGGACUAUUCAUUUUGAUGGGUCCAGGCAGUUGGAGGGCUCGGGGGUUGGAGUCAUACUAACUUCCCCAUGA